CCCCACAUCACUCAGCGACAGGACCGAGGCCUUCAGCUCCUGCUGGGGCGAUGGGCAGGGCCCCACCCCCUUCCUCCCAGGGCACCGGAGCCAGUGGCUGCGCGGGUGGGUCAGCCUGGAAGACCCGGGGCGGGAGAGAGGAGCCGGCCCAGGACGUGUCCCCAGCGGCUGGACGAGAGGCUGUGUGCUCGGGCCCCGACGCCAACUCGGAAACACUGCCGAGGUCCCUGCCUUCGGCCUCUCGGGAUUGGUCACGGGAAGUGGGCGCUGGCUUCUCGGCUCGCCCUGCCACAGGCUCGGGACACCCUUCUGCCCACAGGAGCAGCAGCUCAAGACGCCUGAGCCCCAGGAGUCCCGGGCCUGCUUCCCGGGCCCUGCACUCCCAGGGCUGCCCCCCAGCCUGGCCCACCUGCAGUGGGCGUCCUGUCACCUCGACGACCCCGGCCGGCGGAGUGGUGGAGAGGGUGUGGACUCUGCAGCCGGCUGGCUCUGAGCUGGGCAUGGUCCCCCGGAGCAGAGCUCCUUCAAAUCCCCGCUCCGCCCCCAGCCAGCUGAGUAACCUCGGGCGACCAGAGACCCCACCCUGCCCCUGCCCCCCCCGGGGAUUGUGAGCAGCUGGUGAGUUCACUCCAGCAGGGGGCGCUGAGUGGGGCGGCCGGGUGGCUGAGCGGGUUACAAAGACUUCGUUUUCAGGACGCCCCGAGGAAGCAAAAGGCAGAAUGGAGGGCCUCCUGCCUGUCCGGGGGAAGCAGAGAGGCCUGGACAAGGCUGCGGAGGGGCAGGGCGGCAGGGCACAGGGCGAGGUCCUGAGCCCAGCAGGGCCCUGUCGCGGUGGACAUGCCCCCACCCCCCAUCCCGCCAGCAGGGUGAGAAGACCCACCCCAGGGACGGGACCAGCCUGCACUGCGGGGUGCUGUCCCUUCUCUCCCGUCUGGCUUCUCCUGAGCUCGGGACGAGGGGCAGAAGGCGCGCCUCUCAGGGCACAGAGCCCGCGGGACCCCAGAUCCAGCCUUUGGCCCCGGGGCCCUCGACCACACCUGGCGGCCUAGACCGAGGGCGUGCCUCCGCGUACCUGCGUGGCCGGGUCCCCCUGCCGGUGGCACCGUAGCCACCCUCCCGCUCUGCCGCGUCCGCCUGGUGGGGAGUCCCGCCCUGCCUGGGCCUGCCUGCUCCCCGGCUGCACAACCGAGGAGACUCCCAGAGACAGCUCAGCAGAACCCCCCGCAGCCCUGCCAACAGACCCCACCGACACUGCGGCCGUGUCCCCCGCCAGGCGCUCAGGCCCUCAUCACUCUCCCCCAGCAUCCCCCCAACUUUCUAGCCCUGAUCCCUAAAGGGCAGAGGGAGGGGCUCUCUGAGCAGAAAUAGGUCGUAAGCAGUUUCCCUCCUCAGGAAGCAGCUAUUUCAUAAAUACGAUGG